UACGUAGGUGGCAAGCGUUGUCCGGAUUUACUGGGCGUAAAGGGCGUGCAGGCGGUCUGUUAAGUGCAGGGUGAAAGCUCCCGGCUCAACUGGGAGAGGUCCCUGCAUACUGGCGGACUUGAGGGGGGGUAGAGGAAAGUGGAAUUCCCGGGUGUAGUGGUGAUAUGCGUAGAUAUCGGGAGGAACACCUGUGGCGAAGGCGGCUUUCUGGGCCCUACCUGACGCUGAGACGCGAAAGCGUGGGGAGCGAACAGG
rnacentral:rRNA from 1 species